GGACAGCAACGUGGUACAGCACAUGAAGCAGAGCAGCAGCCUGGAAGGCAGGGAGGGUUGGGGCAGAGCGUCCACGGAACACACAUCCCUGCGGCUCCACAGUGGGCCUCCUACCAACCUGCUGGGGCUGGUCUAGACAGCUGUGGCUGGAAAGGCAGGCAUUUGUCCUGCAGGGUGCCAUUCAGCUCUGUACUCCCAAUGCUUGGCACAGCGUAAGUAUUAAAGCAAUACUUCUUGAAUGAAUGAAUCACACUUCAUGGACUAGCGGCCUUAGCCAGAAAAAAGUCCUUAGUGAAGCAAAGAAUAGCUCUGGUAGUAGGGCCACAGGGUGUAGACUUACCAUUGUUUUUCUGUCUCCACGGACAUUGGCUGGAGCUUGGCGGUGAUGUGUGUUUGUGUGUGGAAGGCAAUACUUUGUUUGCCCUCGCAGCCAGCAAUUCUGUGAGCGCCACGGCACUCCUUGCUUUGCCGCCAAGUCACCAUAGAUAUCAGUGACCCAAUAGAGAUGAAUGUUUGGAGCUCACAGUUCCACCCACUACCUGUCAACAUGCUGAAGGCAUAGCCCCCAAAGUCACAGAAGUGUCCCGUGUCACUGUGUGCACUUUUCCAGCUGACAUCUUAAAGCGUCAACACUUGGAGAAAAACACUAACAAGGUGGAAUCACUGACUUUGCACAACUUGGGGACAGUACGUUUAUCAUGUGGACUCCAUUGGCUGACAGCGACUUGACUUUGCCAAUUCUGUACCUACACGGGUAACUGCCUCUGGGGGUGGCAACUUGCUGACUGAUGUAAAUAGGGAGGAGUGGAAAUGUGAGAGGAUAAAAAUUCUUGCAGAUAGUACACAGAGAUUUUAAAGAGCCACAGAGUCUCCAUAUGAUGUGACGAAAUGCCACUGUGUGCCUGGGAGGUUGAGUGUAGGGGCAAGAUUAUUACUGAGUUAGGGGGUGGAUUAAGCUGUAGUUAUCAGACCUGUUUGACAAUCUGGGAGACAGGAACAUGCUUUUAAGCAUAACCUAUAGUCAUCUAAAUGACUCAUACUGAGAACCAAUACUAUAUUAUUUAUUUAUACUCGUGUUGACUCCCAUAGGAGUCAGGGCAGCU
rnacentral:lncRNA from 1 species